rnacentral:rRNA from 1 species
GACGUAGGGCGCGAGCGUUGUCCGGAUUUAUUGGGCGUAAAGAGCUCGUAGGCGGUUUGUCGCGUCUGCUGUGAAAACUCGGGGCUUAACUCCGGGCCUGCAGUGGGUACGGGCAGACUAGAGUGCGGUAGGGGAGACUGGAAUUCCUGGUGUAGCGGUGAAAUGCGCAGAUAUCAGGAGGAACACCGGUGGCGAAGGCGGUGGUCUGGGCCGGAACUGACGCUGAGGAGCGAAAGCGUGGGGAGCGAACAGG